rnacentral:rRNA from 1 species
GGAUGCCAUCAUACCAGCACUAUCAGCACUCCCCAUCAGAACUCCGAAGUUAAGCGUGCUUGGGCGAGAGUAGUACUAGGAUGGGUGACCCCUGGGAAGUCCUCGUGUUGCAUCCC